rnacentral:rRNA from 1 species
UACGUAGGGGGCAAGCGUUGUCCGGAAUCAUUGGGCGUAAAGAGCGUGUAGGCGGCUCGAUAAGUCUGCUGUGAAAGUCCAGGGCUCAACCCUGGGAUGCCGGUGGAAACUGUCGGGCUAGAGUCCGGAAGAGGCGAGUGGAAUUCCUGGUGUAGCGGUGGAAUGCGCAGAUAUCAGGAGGAACACCGGUGGCGAAGGCGGGAUCCUGGGCCAGUACUGACGCUGAGGAGCGAAAGCGUGGGGAGCAAACAGG